UGGGGAAUAUUGCGCAAUGGGGGAAACCCUGACGCAGCAACGCCGCGUGAAGGAAGAAGGUCUUCGGAUCGUAAACUUUUGUCUUAUGGAAAGAAAAAGGACGGUACCAUAGGAGGAAGCCACGGCUAACUACGUGCCAGCAGCCGCGGUAAUACGUAGGUGGCAAGCGUUGUCCGGAUUUACUGGGUGUAAAGGGCGUGUAGGCGGGUAGGUAAGUCAGAUGUGAAAUACCGGGGCUCAACCCCGGGGCUGCAUUUGAAACUGCGUAUCUUGAGUAUCGGAGAGGAAAGCGGAAUUCCUAGUGUAGCGGUGAAAUGCGUAGAUAUUAGGAGGAACACCGGUGGCGAAGGCGGCUUUCUGGACGACAACUGACGCUGAGGCGCGAAAGCGUGGGUAGCAAACAGGAUUAGAUACCCUGGUAGU
rnacentral:rRNA from 1 species